GCGCGUCCUGUGCUUGCGACAGCUGCUGAUGGUAGAGCAGAAGACUUGCAGGGGUAACCAUCUGCAAGCUCAACAUGAUCGUUCACAUGACCGUCGCCGUCGCGAGAUUUGUUAUCAAGGUCCAUGUCAUCUCCUCUAACUCCGGCUUCACCCCCUUCCCAUUCCUUUCCGAAUUCGUGUGUUGAUUGAACCAGAAAUUAAGUUUGUCUAUUUCUGAAUUUCUAAUAUGUAUCUCUUGAGUUCACGUGCAAUGCAACAUUUAUUUAUAAGUUCUGAACUUGAAUUUUGUGCAUACAGUUGCAUACCUGCAUAUACAGUAGUGAACCACACACGUGAAUGGGAGAGGAGGGGAAGAAGAGGAUGCAUCCUGAAGACAGAGGUCGAGAAGCUUGCGGAGGCAGGAAGAUCGGGUACAAGGUGAGAAUCUCUAUAAACCCAUGUUUGCUGUUGUCUUGGCAGGCCUUGCCCCUCACUGCUCCAUCACCAGAGCCUCCAUCUUCCUAGAUCCCACUGUUCCGUGAUGAACAUAUCCCUUGCCACCGAACGCUCCAGUUGUGGUACACUCACAAUUCCAAAUGAUAGGGUACAUAUUUUGGAUAUAUAUAAUUCAGAUCUCUGUGUUCUAUCAAUCUUACUAAGACGUUUUGUAUCCUUACAGGAUAUCACAAUUGCAAGUAAGAGUUGAAGGAAACCAUGUUCCAGCAGAUAAAAGUCUACAUAAGCUGGACUGAUGUUGUUAUUCCGAUCAUGGUUUUGUUUCUGCAGGCUUGACGGAUUAACUCCUUGGUGUACAUAAAGGCAAGGGACGUAGUUAGUUGUCUUCCAAAUUCUGACGGUUACUCUGGGUUUCAAGGCUUGUUUAGUGUGGCAUAUGGUGCUCCUAAGUCAUGCAAUGGAUGCACAAUAUGUAUCAUUCUGUACUGGGUAUGUUCUUGGCAUCUGGUUGUGCUUUUGCUCUAUGGUAAAUGAAAGGCCAAAGAAUGAAAGAAAACUUUUGUCUAGCUCUUUGUCUUCUAUCAUGUGAUUCUGCUGUUGAGGCAUGAUUGUGAUCAGAUAUUCUUGCUUCCUUCGAACACCAUUUUGUUGAAUGAUUCUGCACAAAUGUGAUGCCAUAUAUGUUAAAUAUGUGCAUUCUUUUAGGUAAUAUCCAAAUGAAACUGACAAAAGUACCGGAGUAUUUUCUUUCUUUGGUAAAUAAAAGUACCAUGCCAAAAGAUGUUUUGUCUUACUAAGAUUAUUGAAGGAAAAAACAUCUUCUGAUUUCUUGAAACUAUCAUUUAGUAUAUAAAAGUUACAUAAUAAUAUUAGUAAUGUUUAGUGUUAAUCUUCAUAAUGAGUUAUGUACUGUCUUGGGGUAUUCUGAAAUAAUAAUAAUAUCAGUUAUAUUGUAGGAUAUUUUCUAAUAGCAAUUGUUGUACGUACAUUAUCGCUGAAAGAUUCUAAGAUAGUUAAUAUCUUCUUUUGAUAGAUAAUAUUUUGUAGUUAGAUAAUAUUUCAUUGAUAUUUUCAAACUUUUUUCCGUUUUGCAGAUUGCAGAGAUUUUAGAAGUAAUUAUUUGAUGGCUUUUGAGACUUUGUUUCUAUAUCAUCUUCUAGAUAGCCAAACUGAAUCGCUCCGUAGACUAGCAGAUCCACUAAAUUGGUGCAGUGGAUGCUAAUUUCCAAGGCAACACCAAUAUGAGCAUAAGGACCAUCAAAUGUAUCAUGUAUGAUUUGUUCAAGGAAUACUAGAUUAUCCUCCCCGCAGAAAGGACUAUCAGAGGUUUCAUGUUGCAUUGCUUCUAGAUGGCAAGUCCGACCAAUUGUUGAGAUUUAUGUGAAUAACCAUUCUGGUAAGAAGUUCACGCAGAGUGUGACAAAAGGGUUGGGUCAAAAUAAAGUACAUGUAUUACUAAAAUCCAUCCGUCUCAUCUCAUGCAUGCAUAACCAGGUCGAUGGUAAUUUGUCUACUACUCUACU
rnacentral:lncRNA from 1 species